AUUUUCCGGUUGAUCCUGCCAGAGGUUACUGCUAUCGAGGUUCGACUAAGCCAUGCGAGUCGAAUGUAGCAAUACAUGGCGAACUGCUCAGUAACACGUGGACAACCUGCCCUUAGGUUGGGUAUAAACCCGGGAAACUGGGUAUAAUACCCGAUAGGUCUCGAUUGCUGGAAUGCAUCGAGAUUUAAAGCUCCGGCGCCUAAGGAUGGGUCUGCGGCCUAUCAGGUAGUAGUGGGUGUAGCGUACCUACUAGCCUACGACGGGUACGGGUUGUGAGAGCAAGAGCCCGGAGAUGGAUUCUGAGACACGAAUCCAGGCCCUACGGGGUGCAGCAGGCGCGAAAACUUUACAAUGCUGGCAACAGCGAUAAGGGAACCUCGAGUGCCAGGUUACAAAUCUGGCUGUCGAGAUGCCUAAAAAGCAUUUCAUAGCAAGGGCCGGGCAAGACCGGUGCCAGCCGCCGCGGUAACACCGGCGGCUCGAGUGGUAACCGUUAUUAUUGGGUCUAAAGGGUCUGUAGCCGGCCGGAUAAGUCUCUUGAGAAAUCUGGCAGCUUAACUGUCAGGCUUUCAGGAGAUACUGUCUGGCUCGAGGCCGGGAGAGGUGAGAGGUACUUCAGGGGUAGGGGUGAAAUCUUGUAAUCCUUGAAGGACCACCAGUGGCGAAGGCGUCUCACCAGAACGGACCUGACGGCAAGGGACGAAAGCUAGGGGCACGAACCGGAUUAGAUACCCGGGUAGUCCUAGCCGUAAACGAUACUCGCUAGGUGUCGGCCACGGUGCGACCGUUGUCGGUGCCGUAGGGAAGCCGUGAAGCGAGCCACCUGGGAAGUACGGCCGCAAGGCUGAAACUUAAAGGAAUUGGCGGGGGAGCACCACAACGGGUGGAGCUUGCGGUUUAAUUGGAUUCAACGCCGGAA
rnacentral:rRNA from 1 species